AUUGAACGCUGGCGGCAGGCCUAACACAUGCAAGUCGAACGAGUGGCGGACGGGUGAGUAAUGUCUGGGACACUGCCUGAUGGAGGGGGAUAACUACUGGAAACGGUAGCUAAUACCGCAUACCAUCGGAUGUGCCCAGAUGGGUUUAGCUAGUAGGUGGGGUAACGGCUCACCUAGGCGACGAUCCCUAGCUGGUCUGAGAGGAUGACCAGCAACACUGGAACUGAGACACGGGCCAGACUCCUACGGGAGGCAGCAGUGGGGAAUAUUGCACAAUGGGCGCAAGCCUGAUGCAGCCAUGCCGCGUGUGUGAAGAAGGCCUUCGGGUUGUAAAGCACUUUCAGCGGGGAGGCGUUACCCGCAGAAGAAGCACAGGCUAACUCCGUGCCAGCCGCCGCGGUAAUUC
rnacentral:rRNA from 1 species